rnacentral:lncRNA from 1 species
CCAGCACGGCUUCCCAGGGGCCACCCGGGUCAGGGGUCCAGCCCACAACAAGGGACAGCACCGGAACGCGGCCCCCAGCAGACGCCUGCUCCCUAGCCCGAGUGCGGUCCGAGAGCUGGGCUGGGGCAACACAGGAAGGGCUUCGUGGCCUCCGUGAGGCUUUUGUCCCGCCGCCCCGCUGGUCUGCUCCUCAUCCACUGAGCUCAGGGCUUCGGAGCUCAUGGGCCACGGACAAGCAUCCAGCGGCCGACACCACACUGCACGGGGCCUACUCAGACGCACACACCCGCUUAGGCCAGGCCAGGCCUCCAUCUUCCCACGAACACGAAAUUCAUUGCUGUUCAAGCCAAAACAACCUGUUUGGUACUCAUCGUUUCUGGUGCUC